GAGCGGCCUCCAGCUCUUGUCAGUUAGGAUCGCCUUAAGUCGGCUGGCAUUUCUAGGCCAGUCGCAGGCCUUCGCACGGUUCACAAGAUGAAGAUGGGGGAGGAUUGGACGGUGCCAGGCAUGGGUGCCAGGCAUGAAUGCAAUGUGGCUUUUGAUGGCUUCUGGUGGACAGGUGGACUUGAAUCCUUGACCUGUCCGGGCCAACUUUUUGAUCCUGGGUACACGUUUUUAUCCAUGGAUGGCUUGCUUGGGGGGCAAAUUUUGGAGAUCUUUUAUAUUAAGGUGUCAAGGAGAGGUACUGGCUACAACGCAGGGAGCAAGAAGUAAAGGCAAAUGUUACCCUGAAGAUUUCAAGGUCAGUCAGUCUCUGGUAUAUAUGGUGAGUUAGAAUGUAACCAGUGAUGUGAUGAUUCUGCCAAAUGAAUAGAAUGAUAUCAUCUGUAAAACCGUUCCAUUUUGAUUCUGAGGUUACUUUAUCAACAAGUAUCACAAGUUUUUUCCCUUCUGUGAUUUGACAUAUAUGGUCUUUACUUUUCAGGGCAUUUAUGACAGCAGUCAUGCAUCUUAACAGUUGACAGGCAGCUGGAUGGAUGCUCAUGGGAUAGGAGAGGAAACAACUUUCAAUUUUUUUUAAAGCCUAUUUUAUUUAUUGGCCAUGCUGCACAGCAUGUAGGAUCUUAGUUCCCCCACCAGGGAUUGAACCCGUGCCCCCUGCAGUGGAAGCACAGAGCCCUAACCACUGGACCACCAGGGAAUUCUCCAACUUUGAAUUUUAAUAAAUAUUUAUGAACCGUC